GACAACAGAUGUAAAGAAGAAACUUAGAUGCUGGUGUCACAAAAACACAUCAGAGAAGCUUCAGAUGACUCCCAAAGGAUGAUAUUUUGACAUUACUACUUUUCCUUCAAGAGAAGAGUUGAAGCUUUCAAUCUUUCAGAAAACAUAGGUGAAGGAAUUCUGGAGUGUUCUGCCAGUGCCCUCCUGUCUGACGUGCUCUGCUGCUGUCAGAGAUAAGACAUGGUGCAUUUUCAAAAAGCCACAGGACUGCAAUACGACACUUCCAUCCAGCUGUGAAAAACAUAGUGACUGAUAGUAACUUCAGAAACAUCACCUACUUACCAAAUGUCUGAAUUCACACAAAUCAACAGUCUCAAGGCAUAAAGCAACCAUUUUAUAGAAGUAUGAGGCUUGAACAAAGACUUCUGAGGAAAAAGUGUUUUGCAAAAGUAUUCCAUUUGAAAAUACUAUGGCAAUUUUUGCUAAGAUCAAAGGCUGAUUUCAAAGAAAGGUUCCCCUGAAUACCUUUCCUUGUUCACUGUCCAACUUGCAUAGAAAUAAAACUUCAACCCCAAAGGUUGCCUAGAAAAAUACUGCAUGGAGUUUGGAGCUGGAAGACUGUCUUCUUUCUAGCUGUGACCCUGGACAAGCCACUUGAUAUCUCUGAGGCUCAGUGUUCUCAUCUGCAAAAUGGAACUAGUCCUUCAACAAACAUAGGAUGGUUUUUCCUACCUAGAGGGACACAAGUGCAACAGUGCCACAUUGUAGUAUUGCCUGGGUGACCGCGGAGCUUACUGACCAAGCCAAGGAUCCUAUUCCCAGGACAGCAGGCAUGCCCCAACUGCCUUGGGCAGGUCAGGAUGUGUGGUCUCCUCAGUUAUUGCUCAAUAUACCCACCUUG